rnacentral:rRNA from 1 species
AUGGAGCUCCCGGCCGCCUCCGUCCCCCACUCCGUCUGCACGGCGUACAGCAACCUCGUCACGACGACGGCGGCGGCGGCGCAGCAUCGGCGCACGCGGCGGCCGCCGCCGCGCCCGCGGCAGGGCAGGUGCUGCGCCAUGCUGAAGCAGCACAAGACGAGGCUGUACAUCCUCGGGCGGUGCGUGUCCAUGCUCCUCUGCUGGCACGACCGCGACGACUCCGACUGA